AUGUGUAUGAUGACAUUGUCUGAGACCUUUCAUCAGCUUGCCUGAGUUCAAAUGCAUCCUGGGGUAUAACCUACGGAUUUCUUUCUUGACUUAAGCUGAUCCGAGUUGAAUUUCUGACACUUGAGACUGAAAGUGUCCUGACCCUUAUGUGUAGGAUCCAGGAGUGAGAAAUCAUUCAACAGAACUCUUGUGAGCAUGCUCUAUGUAGCUCUUCACUCAUUUCAAGCCCAGGCUACUUAUGAUGCAUGCCUGGCCCUUACACACUCUCAGGGUAGCUGUUUAUGAAGCAUAUUGGGGAAGAAUUGACUUUCUGAGUGUCUAAGGUUUGAGUUUCUUUGAUCAACUAGUGCUGGAGGAGCCAAAUAGUUAAGAUUGGGGAAACGGAAAGGAGGAGGAAGACCAUGAAGUAGGGCACCGGCUGAUCCUAGGAGCCGUCUGGGAACUGCAACUGCCGUGUGCCUAAAUGCAGGAAGGGCUGUCGCCUGAGGAUGUGCCUUCCUUCUGGAUGCCUGCCAUGUUUCCUGCUCACUGAUCCAAGCCUGCUGAAAUAUCAGUUUACCCAGAGAGUCAACGUACUUUUUUCACAGUGAGACCAAUUCAGAAUGCAAGUCUCCCCAUUUAUAGGAUGCAUGAUGUGCAUCUUCUUCCAGCCCAGAGUGAAGAGCAUGAUGACAAAUGAGAAACAAUCAUUUCACACAUCCUGGUAAAAUAAAUAUUCUUUGUCAGAACA
rnacentral:lncRNA from 13 species